rnacentral:rRNA from 1 species
AAGACAGAGGGGGCAAGCGUUGCUCGGAAUUACUGGGCGUAAAGGGCGCGUAGGCGGGAUGGCAAGUCGGUCGUGAAAUCCCUCGGCUCAACCGAGGAGCGUCGGCCGAUACUGCCGUUCUUGAGGGAUGCAGAGGAGACUGGAAUUCCCGGUGUAGCGGUGAAAUGUGUAGAGAUCGGGAGGAACACCGGUGGCGAAGGCGGGUCUCUGGGCAUUUCCUGACGCUGAGGCGCGAAAGCGUGGGGAGCAAACGG